GAAUAUUGAAAUUCUCACCUACAAUGUGAUGCUAUCAAAAGAGAUUGCUGGUGAGACAGCAGCCACUGCUCCCAGGCCCGAGAACAGGGGCAGCACCAAAGCUGGUCAGUGUUUCCUCCUUACAGGUCUGAAUGUGCUGCAGAGGAGGGUGCUCCCCAGAGAUCACCCCUGUGACAGAUCGAUUGAAGGACCCCUGAAUGGCUGAAUUGAGAAGAACAAGCAUAUUAGGAGGCCAUACAAUGGGAGCCUCUCAGGCAGACAGACAAAGCCAUGGAAACUGCAGACUUAUUUGUAUGUUUUAGUAAAUACCUUUGCUUCAUUUUCCCCGUCUCCGCCUGGACUGAGGGUCACCUCACCUCUCCUGGUGUCCAGAGCCUCCUUCAGGACAGAUGUUUCAAACCUGAGUUCUCACAAACAACGGGGUCCAGCCCUUCUCAACACGGGAAAGCCCUUGAGCCAUCUUUGAUUUGUGUGUUUUGAUCUAAUUGCACUACUGCUUGCAAUGCUUGUUUUUAGCGGUGAGUGCUGGUUUAAUUUGUUUCUUUCUGGUCUCCCAGCCCCACUCCAGAAUUUUGGCUCCUGGAGAGGAGGGGCCCUGAACUGGCAUUUUCAGUGAAGCAUCCCAGUGCCUUGAAUCCAGUAAGCAGCCAGGUGUCUGUUGGCUUCAUGGUUUAACAACCUACCAUUUGAAGAAUCGCAGAGAUGAAUUAAAAAGAGCCCCGGAGAGGCUCCCCGAUCCAGUUGCACUUCCUGCUUAAGCAAAGUAAAGAAAAACAGGAAUGAAAACAUAACCCAAUGGGUUAGUUCCAUGCUGGCCAUUGAUGAGGUUGCAGCCACCAUCAGAAGAAGGCCAAACGGUUAGAAAGACACGACGGUGAGGAAGAUGAGCCUCAUUAUCGACCGUCACCUGCAGCCCUGCACAGGUGCUCAGAAUCUAACACUUGAUGGCUGGUUGAGAUUCGUGGAGUCCUAAUUAGGAAUGGGGAGUCAGGCUGGCAGGACCCAGGGAAAGCAAAAAGAGAAGGCAGAGAAGCUCCAAGUCUGCCUGUCUUCAUGAUCCAGAACACAUAGUCCUGCUGCACAAGUAACUCACAAUCUUCCUGUGUCUAGCUGUCAUUAGACUCUUGGCUGAUAGAAAAAUGCAAGUUAGCACACCGCAGCCUUGGUGUUGUCAGUACUGCAUGUCGCUCUCUCCAGCACACCGCAACCUCGGUGUUGUCAGUACUGCAUGUCGCUCUCUCCAGCACACAGCACAAGCACCAUCCUAUCAAGUCCCCAGCAAGCCUUUGUCUCCUUGCAGUCAGCUCCUCUCUUGCUGGCCUGCCUGUUGCCUCCUUGCUGUGUAUUUUCCUACUUUCUCUAAUUUGCCUUUUUUUUUUGAGAUGAAAUUUUGCCUCAGCCUCCCAAGUAGCUGGGACUACAGGUGCGUGCCACCACGUCCAUCUAAUUUUUGUAUUUUUCGUAGAGACGGGUUUUCACCAUGUUGGCCAGGAUGGCCUUACCUCUUGACCUCCUGAUCCGCCUGCCUCGGCCUCCCAAAGUGUCGGGAUUACGGGCAUGAGCCACCGCACCUGGCCUAAAUCUGCCUUUCUUAACCUACAAUUGUCUUUACCCUGAGCCGCUGGCCCCAGAUAGUCGCUGCUCACCCGUGACAAUAUUUCACCACUGAGAUCAUUUAUCCUCAAAAAAAUGAGUAGAAUGGCCACGGAAUUGUGUCCAAAGAAUGAAGGAGCAAAACAGUCUUGGAGUCUUAGGAGCAAAACAUCUGCAUUACUAAUAUCCUCCCAAGUCCACCAAGCCUCAGCUAGGAACGGUUCCCCACUUGUGAAGUGUCUGAUAAGUUCUAGUUUCCUUCCUUCCUUCCUUCCUCUCUCUCUCUCUUUUUCUUUCUUUUCUCUUUCUCUCUUUCUUUUCUUUUUCUUUCUCUUAUCAUUCUUUCCUUUCUAUCUAUCUUUCUUUCUUCUAUCUUUCUCUCUCUCUCUCUUUGACAGUCUCACUCCAUUGUUCAGGCUGGAGUACAGUGGCACAAUCUCAGCUCACUGCAACCUCUGCCUCCCAGGUUCAAGCAAUUCUCCUGUCUCAACCUCCUGAGUAGCUGGGAUUACAGGCUCUCGCCACUACAUCCAGCUGAUUUUUGUAUUUUUAGUAGAGGUGGGGGUUUCAUCAAGUUGGCCAGGCUGGUCUCGAACUCCUGACCUCAGGUAAUCUGCCCAAACGUAAUCAAACACCACCUGUUCCCCAAAAACCAAUGGAAAUAAAAUUUAAAAACAAAAACAAAAAGCAUCUCCUCAGCAUUGUGUUCGAAGAGAGGCAGCUGCGAGGACCUUGCUGUUCCUCACCCUCGGAAGCCGUGCCUCUCAUCUGGGCCCUUGGUCUGGCAUCCCCGGCCAGUGCAGCCCCUUCCACCGUGGGGUAGGUGGCAGGCGGAGGGGCCAGCCUGGCUGCCUGGCAUCCCCAUGGUUCCUGUAAUAAAUAACAAGCCUAACUGA
rnacentral:lncRNA from 1 species